rnacentral:tRNA from 1 species
UUGGGCUAUAGCCAAGCGGUAAGGCAAGGGACUUUGACUCCCUCAUGCGCCGGUUCGAAUCCUGCUAGCCCAACCAU